rnacentral:rRNA from 1 species
GAUGGACGCUGGCGGCGUGCCUAAUACAUGCCAGUCGAGCGAACAGACGAGGAGCUUGCUCCUCUGACGUUAGCGGCGGACGGGUGAGUAACACGUGGAUAACCUACCUAUAAGACUGGGAUAACUUCGGGAAACCGGAGCUAAUACCGGAUAAUAUAUUGAACCGCAUGGAUCAAUAGUGAAAGACGGUUUUGCUGUCACUUAUAGAUGGAUCCGCGCCGCAUUAGCUAGUUGGUAAGGUAACAGCUUACCAAGGCAACGAUGCGUAGCCGACCUGAGAGGGUGAUCGGCCACACUGGAACUGAGACACGGUCCAGACUCCUACGGGAGGCAGCAGUAGGGAAUCUUCCGCAAUGGGCGAAAGCCUGACGGAGCAACGCCGCGUGAGUGAUGAAGGUCUUCGGAUCGUAAAACUCUGUUAUUAGGGAAGAACAAAUGUGUAAGUAACUAUGCACGUCUUGACGGUACCUAAUCAGAAAGCCACGGCUAACUACGUG